UUGACGGGACCCGCACAAGCGGUGGAUGAUGUGGAUUAAUUCGAUGCAACGCGAAAACCUUACCUACCCUUGACAUGUCCGGAAUCCUGCAGAGAUGCGGGAGUGCCCGAAAGGGAAUCGGAACACAGGUGCUGCAUGGCUGUCGUCAGCUCGUGUCGUGAGAUGUUGGGUUAAGUCCCGCAACGAGCGCAACCCUUAUCAUUAGUUGCUACGCAAGGGCACUCUAAUGAGACUGCCGGUGACAAACCGGAGGAAGGUGGGGAUGACGUCAAGUCCUCAUGGCCCUUAUGGGUAGGGCUUCACACGUCAUACAAUGGUCGGUACAGAGGGUUGCCAAGCCGCGAGGUGGAGCCAAUCCCAGAAAGCCGAUCGUAGUCCGGAUUGUUCUCUGCAACUCGAGAGCAUGAAGUCGGAAUCGCUAGUAAUCGCGGAUCAGCAUGUCGCGGUGAAUACGUUCCCGGGUCUU
rnacentral:rRNA from 1 species